CUACGGGAGGCAGCAGUGGGGAAUAUUGGACAAUGGGCGAAAGCCUGAUCCAGCCAUGCCGCGUGUGUGAAGAAGGCCUUCGGGUUGUAAAGCACUUUCAGUGGGGAAGAAAGCCUUGGGGCUAAUACCCUCGAGGAAGGACAUCACCCACAGAAGAAGCACCGGCUAACUCCGUGCCAGCAGCCGCGGUAAUACGGAGGGUGCGAGCGUUAAUCGGAAUUACUGGGCGUAAAGCGCGCGUAGGCGGUCUGAUAAGCCGGUUGUGAAAGCCCCGGGCUCAACCUGGGAACGGCAUCCGGAACUGUCAGGCUAGAGUGCAGGAGAGGAAGGUAGAAUUCCCGGUGUAGCGGUGAAAUGCGUAGAGAUCGGGUGGAAUACCAGUGGCGAAGGCGGCCUUCUGGACUGACACUGACGCUGAGGUGCGAAAGCGUGGGUAGCAAACAGGAUUAGAUACCCCAGUAGUC
rnacentral:rRNA from 1 species